rnacentral:rRNA from 1 species
UCGCCCUUCGGGGCGCACCAGGCGCGAAAACUUUACAAUGCUGGCAACAGCGAUAAGGGGACCUCGAGUGCCAGGAUACAAUCCUGGCUGUCGUAAUGCCUAAAAAGCAUUGCAUAGCAAGGGCCGGGCAAGACCGGUGCCAGCCGCCGCGGUAACACCGGCGGCUCGAGUGGUAACCGCUAUUAUUGGGUCUAAAGGGUCUGUAGCCGGCUGACUAAGUCUCUUGGGAAAUCUGGCAGCUCAACUGUCAGGCUUUCAGGAGAUACUGAUCGGCCCGAGACCGGGAGAGGUGAGAGGUACCUCAGGGGUAGGGGUGAAAUCUUGUAAUCCUUGAGGGACCACCAGUGGCGAAGGCGUCUCACCAGAACGGAUCUGACGGCAAGGGACGAAAGCUAGGGGCACGAACCGGAUUAGAUACCCGGGUAGUCCUAGCCGUAAACGAUACUCGCUAGGUGUCGGCCACGGUGCGACCGUGGUCGGUGCCGUAGGGAAGCCGUGAAGCGAGCCACCUGGGAAGUACGGCCGCAAGGCUGAAACUUAAAGGAAUUGGCGGGGGGCAC